rnacentral:rRNA from 1 species
UACGUAGGGUGCGAGCGUUAAUCGGAAUUACUGGGCGUAAAGCGUGCGUAGGCGGUUCGUUAAGUCAGCUGUGAAAGCCCCGGGCUCAACCUGGGAACUGCGGUUGAAACUGGCGAACUAGAAUCUGGCAGAGGGGAGUGGAAUUCCACGUGUAGCAGUGAAAUGCGUAGAGAUGUGGAGGAACACCGAUGGCGAAGGCAGCCCCCUGGGCUGAGAUUGACGCUCAGGCACGAAAGCGUGGGGAGCAAACAGG